rnacentral:rRNA from 1 species
CAGUCGAACGAAGCACUUUAUUUGAUUUCCUUCGGGACUGAUUAUUUUGUCACUGAGUGGCGGACGGGUGAGUAACGCGUGGGUAACCUGCCUUGUACAGGGGGAUAACAGUUGGAAACGGCUGCUAAUACCGCAUAAGCGCACAGCAUCGCAUGAUGCAGUGUGAAAAACUCCGGUGGUAUAAGAUGGACCCGCGUUGGAUUAGCUAGUUGGUGAGGUAACGGCCCACCAAGGCGACGAUCCAUAGCCGACCUGAGAGGGUGACCGGCCACAUUGGGACUGAGACACGGCCCAAACUCCUACGGGAGGCAGCAGUGGGGAAUAUUGCACAAUGGGCGAAAGCCUGAUGCAGCGACGCCGCGUGAGCGAAGAAGUAUUUCGGUAUGUAAAGCUCUAUCAGCAGGGAAGAUAAUGACGGUACCUGACUAAGAAGCACCGGCUAAAUACGUGCCAGCAGCCGCGGUAAUACGUAUGGUGCAAGCGUUAUCCGGAUUUACUGGGUGUAAAGGGAGCGCAGGCGGUGCGGCAAGUCUGAUGUGAAAGCCCGGGGCUCAACCCCGGUACUGCAUUGGAAACUGUCGUACUAGAGUGUCGGAGGGGUAAGCGGAAUUCCUAGUGUAGCGGUGAAAUGCGUAGAUAUUAGGAGGAACACCAGUGGCGAAGGCGGCUUACUGGACGAUAACUGACGCUGAGGCUCGAAAGCGUGGGGAGCAAACAGGAUUAGAUACCCUGGUAGUCCACGCCGUA